CACAAAAUCGAUUAACAAAGUCACUUAUCCUGGGAAUAAGACAUAUAGGUUAAACUCCUAUUUUUGCUG
rnacentral:tRNA from 1 species